UCUUAUUGUACAUAGGAUUAUGAUAGUCUUGUAAUAGAAGUACAGAAAAAUAAGUCAAUGUUAGAUGGAAGGAAAGUGUGAUCUGUCUUCAAAAAGAGCUCAUAGGAUGCUUUACUGAGUGCAUGGCAGUGAGGCAUUCUGGGAUCAAGGAAUACUCCAGAAGAUUUCCCCCCCCCCACACCCCACCCCCCAGGGAAAGUGCGAACACAGUACCCCACUACCACAAAUUAUGCAGUCCAGUUUCCUGCAUUUGGGAAAAUCGCAGGGGUCAGCAUAUCCACAGUGCAAUGGAUAAGCCUCGCCCUGGGAAAACCACACUCUAGAAGAUCUUAAUAGAAGAGGCUUAGAAACAAGGAGUGGAGUUUGCAUUUGGAGCUGGGUUGCAAAACAACAAAAAUAAUAGCAACAACAAAACAGAAACAAGACAAAACACCAAAAUAAAUCCCAACAACAACAGCAGCAGCAACAACAAAACCCUAUUUUUUAAAUCAUACUGGGUCAUGAGGGAGUUUUAGUCCACUCUACAGAAAAAUCAGUAGGGCUUGUGUGACAGAUUUGGAAUGAGGAAAACAGCAUGUCCAGUGAUCAAAAUAGGAAUCUGAGAACAUGUUUUCAGACUCUAUCUAUGUAAAUGGAAGGCACAAGAGGAAUGAAGCAUACACCAGACUAGGGAAUGCAGCACAGACCAGAUCUUGCAGGAAAUGGGUAAGUCUCAUGCAGCCACUUUAAAGCUGGCAUUUUUUAUGGGAAUGAAAAUCCCAGUCAGGAAAACUUCACUGAUAGAUAAUGGGCAGUGUAGGAUAGAUCCCAAUUUAUUUUAGGCCUCACUUUGGCUGUCUAGAAUUGCAACAAGGGUGCAUAGCAUUAAGUAGCUACUGUACAAGUGCAUAGUAAAUUUAUGUUAUCUUAAAUUAGCAAACUCAUGGUGGUAAGUGAGAGAAAAAGACAAAUAUUAAAGAUACUUAAAUAAACAAAUAUAUAUAUACACAUACACACACACACGCACACACACACACACACACACACAUAUAUAUAUAUAUAUAUACAUACAUAUAUAUAUAUAUAUAUAUAUAUAUAUAUAUAAUUUAGAGUAUGAAAAAUUUGAUGGGUGAAACAUGGGAUGUUUACAAAAGUUAGUUGACUAUCAGAGCAUGAGAGCAAAUGACUUGCAGAGGUAUAGCUCAGCACAUAAAUUCCAUUGCUAAAAUAUGCAGAUUAGAAAAGAUUAUUGCAAUUUCACUAUUGUUCUUUUCAGAAUCUCUAAAACAAUGUCACAUAAUUAGUAUUCUGAUUUGUGGAAUGAUGCUACUGAGUGCAUUAGAACAUAAUAAGUUGACAUUUCCUGAAAGUUGUUUUAUAAUUUAGUCUUAUCACUAAUUCUGAUUUAUUCUCUCCACAAUCCCCACUCAAAUCCCAAUAGGUUUUUUUGGAUCUUUAGAUCAUUUUAAAAGGUUUUGUGUCUUAUUUCCUGUCAACAUUGGCUGUUCAGGCUACAUCUCUCCACCCCUGGAAGCAUGCCCAUCCACAAAGAGCUACUGCUUUUUAUGUCUCAUAAGUUUUAUUACUGAAUUGGCUUAGCAUUUUCAAAAUAAUUUUAAUGUUUGUGAUAUUUUAAAGACUCUUGGUUAUCUCAUUUCACAAGGUGAAUGUGCUUGGAUCCUACAGUUAUCAUGGUUAAAGAGACAAAGAAUAGUAUUGGCUUGCUAACAUUUAUACAUUCAUGUUUUUUCACUUUUCAAAUCAAAGAAGAUUCUAUCUAAUGCGCUAUGGCAUUCUAUGAUUAUUUAACUUAUUACUUAUGGCAGCUAAAGGGCUUCUGCUUUCCAGUUCUCUUGUAGCACUUAGCUCUUUUGUAAUUAAUAUUUUCAUUUCCCAUAUGGAUCAAGUGCCUGAAAGAAAUUUUAUCUGGAAAAAAAUUCUGCAUAAUAUUCUAGUACACUUCAAUUUAUUUAGUGAUUCAUCUGUGCUGUUUAUUUUUAUUAAACAAACUAGGCCAGGAUAUUAGUUUUGAACUCUUGCUCUAAGACAAGGGUUUGUUCUACAGAGUCAAUGCCAGGUCACAGAGAGUUCAGUGAGACACAUCUCAUUGAGGCAUUACCCAGUGUGUCUUGUGCCCAGGUUAAAUCACAGUGAUAAGUAGGAUGUGUGCUUGUAAAUUGCUAAUUCUUGUUUCACCAGAAUUUGAUGUCAUCUCGUGGUUAUUACAGCUGUCCAAUUACAAAUGAUCAAAUUGGAUUAUUGUUAAUUAGUGGGUCUGUCUACUUCUGUACAAUGAUACAGAAGUCUUGUUGGCUGAAUUUAUCUGUUUAAGUGGUCUGUAUUCAGAUGUAGAAAGCCAAAUGUCCUGUUUGAAAUCAAAAC
rnacentral:lncRNA from 1 species